rnacentral:lncRNA from 1 species
UUUACAGGUUGCUCCCACUCCCGCUGCUGUUACUUAAAAUAGUUUUCCGUGAGACUUCUCUGGAAACACAUACCUUGUUUGUGACAAUUUCAGAGUGACUCCUUUUAACUCAUCCUUGGUGAAGGAUCAGAGGAAACUUUCCAAACUCCCAUAUGCCAUGCUCAAACUCUGCUCCCGAGCUACCCUGGUCAAGUUCGUGAACUAUUACCAGCAUCAGCUAGAUAACAUAAGGCUGCAUUCAUCACAAUGGCAUAUAACUGUUGGCUAUAUAGGAACUAGGCCAUAUCAUCAUUCUGUUGAUCAAUGACUCCCUUUAUUGUGAGGCGACCUUCAUCUUUUGAAGUCGGUCUACUAAGAAUAUUUGCUUUUUACCAUCACUUUCUUGGAAAGUUCCUCAAGGAUCUGUUCCAGCCAAACAAGAGAGUAAAGCAGAGAACAAGGGCCAAACACCUGCUGUCACGUGAUCACAAAGGGCACAGGCCUGAAGAGAACAAGGUUCAUCCUUCCAUGAAUAAGACAGAAGUCAUUCUGCUGGACUCCACAUGGGACAUCUGUCUUUUCCUGCCUCAGAGGCAAACUGAAAUAUUAAUUCUCUUGGGUCUCAAGAUGCUUAAACUUUCUGAUCUCCUGCUGCUAGAUCCCCUUGCUCUCCAAUGUGCUGAACUGAAGAUGCUGGGAACUGCCAGCUUCUGGAACAGGACACUCCCCUCCAAGAAAAGCAACCAAGAACUAGAAGGAAGGUCACCCUUUACAGUGAGUCUUUAACCGAGGACAAGCAAAAGAAACAACAUCACACAUUGGCAGGAAGCCGGGUGGGAUGAAGCCGACUCCAUCAUUCAUUAACAGAGACCCAAUCCAAAAAAUGUAUUCUGUUUUAUGCUUUGCUCUAAGUUGGUGAUAUCAAUAAAAAAAAAAGCAUGAAAAGUAGAGACAAUCAUACCGUCCGGUUUGACAAGGAAACCACCCUAGAAGGACAACGACUCAUUAUACGAUGUGUCCUCUAAAAAUACGUUCAAUUAUCUCCAUGGCUGGAGAGUUACUACUCUUCACUAUGCAAUGAAUGGAAUGAGAAGCUAAGGUUUAAAACCAUUGACAGGAGAAAAGAAAAUGAAAGUAGACAGUGGAGAAAGAGAACAAACCAAUAGCAAACCGGCUUAAUACCACCCAGCAUGCCUUGCGGCAGUGCUCAGGCUCCUAAGUGCUCCGAUUUCUUUAGGAAUUUCCCUGCUGGCUUUUCGUGACUGUGAAAACUAUCAGUCAGAAAUAAAGAACGGAGGUGAUGAAAUAAAACCACACUUCACCUUCAGGACAUUUCUGAGGUAACGAUGCACACUGUUUUUCACUUGAAAGAACAAACCCCACCUUCUCAGCAGAAAGCCUGACUGCCUUUCUCCCGCCCUACAAGGGCUUAUUUUAUGCAGCAGCAAGAAGCUACAAUUCCCAAGUCUAGUUUCUACCUUUCAUUUAGUUUAUUCCUUUGGUUAAAAAACAAGAAACAAAAACAAAAAACCAUUCCCUGUGAUGGUUUGUAUAUUGCACCACGGAAUGGCACCAUUUGGAGGUGUGGCCUUGUUGGAAUAGGUGUGACCUGGUUGGAGUAGGUGUGUCACUGUGGGCUUAAUACCCUCACCCUAGUUGCCUGGAAGUCAGUCUUCCACUAGCAGCCUUUGGAUGAAGAUGUAGAACUCUCAGCUCUGCCUGUGCCAUGCCUGCCUGGAUGCUGCCAUGCUCCCACUUUGAUGAACUCUGAACCUGUAAGCCAACCCCAAUUAAAUGUUGUUUUUAUA